rnacentral:rRNA from 1 species
CGGACCGGCGCACGGGUGAGUAACGCGUAUCCAACCUGCCCUUUACUAUGGGACAGCCCGUCGAAAGGCGGAUUAAUACCGUAUGUUGUCAUGUUGAUGCAUAUUUUCAUGACCAAAGGCUUCGGCCGGUAAAGGAUGGGGAUGCGUCUGAUUAGCUUGCCGGCGGGGUAACGGCCCACCGUGGCGACGAUGCGUAGGGGUUCUGAGAGGAAGGCCCCCCACACUGGGACUGAGACACGGCCCAGACUCCUACGGGAGGCAGCAG